rnacentral:misc_RNA from 1 species
AAUCCCUCCCAAAAAAAGCUAGUGCAAAGUUUUCAUCUUUACUGGGACUCAAUGCUGUGCGACUUUGAAGUUCGCUUAUAUGUGGUAGUUCCUAUGGAAGAUAUAAAGAAAAGUGGAGAACUCCCUGGAAAUAUUAUCAUCAGGCGUCUUUUUAGCCAACUCACAUUUCUGAGGGCUACAGAAGAUUGUGGAUACUUUCUCAAAGUAACAAAAGUGAAGAGCGUAGGCAAUGGAAAGUUGUUAGACUCGUCAAAGUACAUCAUGUUCCCUGUAACCUUCCACAGUCUUACCUUCUUACCUAAAAUCGGGGAAGUCUUGGUUGGUAUUGUCGUUGAGGUUUGCAGGCAUGGAGUCUUUCUGAAAUGUGGACCUAUGAACUCUAUUUAUCUCAGUGUUCGGAAGAUGCCAAAUUACAACUAUGUUCCAGGUGAAAAUCCUUUCUUCAUAUGCAAUGACCAGUCAAGGAUUGAGAACGAAGUGGCUGUCCGAUUUGUGGUUUAUGCUAUGAGAUGGAGUAGAACCCUUGUUAGGAAAUUCGAUGUUCUUGCAAGCAUCGAAGGUGAUUCCCUUGGACCAGUUUCACUGAAUGGAUUUGAUGGACUAGAGCUGUAAAAAUCUUAAUAGGAAAGGAAAUGGAAAGAAAAUGCAUUGUUAGCAUAGUUUCUCUCACCAAAUCAAAAAUAGGAAACACAAGAAACUUUGUAUAUGUUUGAUUUUACUUAUAGGAAGUGAGUGAGUAAUCAGUGAUAUUAUAACUGUAAAAAUUGUUGUGUUACAGCUUUUGCUAAGAAUGUAUUUGGAGAAAUGAAA